rfam:Ictidomys tridecemlineatus contig075476, whole genome shotgun sequence.
AGGGAUGUGGCUCAGUUGUAGAGCAUUUGCUUAGCAUGUACAAAGCCCUGGGUUCAAUCCCCAGCAUCAUCA